UACAUCAGGCUUUGGGGAUCUUAGGGCACCUAUUAGGAGAAAUGGAUGGAAGCUUUAUCUAGUAAAGACUUUUCUUACUCUGAACCGUCCUGUUUAUCCUAGGUCUGUGCUGCAUUCCUGGCUGCACUGAGACCCACUGUGUUCACGUUGGAGAUAACUUAAAAUUCCCAUUACCUCAAGGAGCACAGGUUGAGAUCACAGCCACUGAUUUUGGCUGCCUUAACUUGGAAAGAUGCUCCCUUGAUGCAUGUGUGGUCCCCUCAUAGCUGGGUGCAGCACUACUGUGGUCUGGAGCUCUGCGUGAGGCAUCAAGAUGUUGGGCAGGUGACUUGGAAGAGGAAGAUCUUUAUUUAGAGCUUUUUUGCCCAUCCUCUACAGGUAAUUGCUGGGAAUGCUUCUCUCAGGGGUGCCUAUAGUAAAUUGUUGGCCCCAGUCCUGUUCAUAAUAAUGUGGUAAAACUGUUGUUGACUUCAGGAACAGAAUCAGAAGUCCCAUUAUCUUCAUGUGUUGCUAUUUAGAUUGAUGGUAUUUCUUGGAGAGUAUAUGCAACUUCAGGUAUUUUUUACUCAGUUUUGUAAAACUUACAUAAAACUGCCAUGCCUGUCUUCAUAUACUGCCUGUCUUCCUUUGUCCUUAUCACUUCUUGACCGUAAAUUGUGCAUAGAUUUUCAGAGGUAAAGAAAAUACGUAUGAAGUGUUAUUGUGGAGGAAGAUUGCUGACAAUUGAUGGUAUGCGUGAACAGCUUAGGAAAAUACGGGCACUUCCCCUACCCUGGUUAAAGAAGGCAGCAAGUUUUGUAGCUCACUCAGAUGUCUGUCUCUCUUCUCUUUUUUCCUUUUUAUUUUUUAAGGUGUGAAUUUGGUGAUUAUUUGUUAGUCUGGCUGCUGUGAAUAAUAAUAAUGAGAUAAAGUACCUGAAAUGUAUAUUUAA